rnacentral:rRNA from 1 species
CAGCAGCCACGGUAAUACAGAGGGUGCGAGCGUUAAUCGGAUUUACUGGGCGUAAAGCGUGCGUAGGCGGCUAAUUGAGUCGGAUGUGAAAUCCCCGAGCUUAACUUGGGAAUUGCAUUCGAUACUGGUUAGCUAGAGUGUGGGAGAGGAUGGUAGAAUUCCAGGUGUAGCGGUGAAAUUCGUAGAGAUCUGGAGGAAUACCGAUGGCGAAGGCAGCCAUCUGGCCUAACACUGACGCUGAGGUACGAAAGCAUGGGGAGCAAACAGGAUUAGAUACCCCGGUAGUCCCUGUCUCUUAUAC